UCUGCCAACAGUCUGAGGAGCUUGCGGGCCAAUGUUAAGCCUUAGAUGAGACCAGUUGAGCCUCCGAUGAGACCACAGCCCCAGCCGACACCUGGACAGCAGCCUGGUAAAGCUCUGAAGCAGAGAACCUAGGGUUACCCUGAGGCUGCAAGUGUGGAAGUAAUGUCCAGGUGGGUCCCUGCCACCCUCCCUCCAGCCACAGACUUGUGUUACGUGAGGCUCAGAGUGAGAAGGGUCCUGAAGGAGCAGCUUUGUGGUGAUUGGCUGACAAUACUCUCAACAUGCCUCCUCUGAGCCUUCUGGAAUAUUUGCCAGCAACAUGACUGAGGCCUACACAGUGCGGCAGAGGGCACGGUCCUCUGGGCCCCUCAGCUGCUGAAAUGGAGUCAACUGUGGUGUUUCUACCCAUAAGCGAAACAGCUGUAGCACAACCCAGGAAGGGGCAUACAACACAUAUGGCAGUUUAACAGAUCACUGUGAAGCAGACACCUGGAAAUCGAGUGGUGACAGGGCCUUGCCAACAUCCCAGAAGCCGGAAGUGUGCAGUUCCACACCAUCCCGGCCUCGCUGCCCACCACUGAGGAUGUCAGGAAGCAUUUGCCCCAGAGCUCAGGUGAGAGGUCUGGGGAUCCAGAGCUGGUGUCUACAAGACAAGGCAGGUGUGAGAAGCUGUGGGUGCACAUGCUCAGUGUCACCUGAUAUUUGGGUCCAUAUAUAUGGAUAUUAGUCCUUGGUUCCUUAUGCAUUAACCGACACCCUUCCUUCACCCUCUUCCUACAGUGAGGUCUAUCUCUCACAUCCAGAGGGAGGUUGAAGUUAGGCCAGGCAGAGGCGUGCUACAAUAUACCUUGUAAGGACAUUAGAACCUGGAUGGAAAUGUAAUGGGAAUGAAGGAAAGUGUGUGACCGGAAGGCCCCUGGAGAAGAGAGCAGAUGCUCAGAGGAAGGAUCUGCUUGAGUUUCCCUUCAGCUGUGACAGAAAUCUGAAAACCAGUGCCUUCAACAACUAAGAGGGUUGUUUUUUCAUGUCACAGAAGUCUACGCCUGUUGUGACUCAAAGUUGCCAUCGAGAACCCAGUCUCUUUCUGCCUUCCUGGGCUGCUGUCUGAAGCAGGUGGCUGUCGGCCGAGGUUUACUGCCUUGUGGAUGCAAGGUGGUUGCUGCAGUGCCAGCCUUUCAUCUGCAUCAAGGCAGGAAGAGGGAGGGCAAAGGACUCAACGCAGAGCCGGUUGGGUUGAGUCUCUCCCCUUUUAGGAGCCUGCCUCGGAUCCUCUUGCAGUGAUGUCCACUUAUGUCUCAUUUGCCAGAACUCGGUCCCUGGCCACCCUGCACUGUAGGGGAGCCUGGAAAAUCACCUUAAACAAAGCUGGUCACACCAAUACCCUGAGAACAGACAUUGAGAAGGAAACUAGUAGCUUUUCCUCAAAGAAAUAAUUUGCAGUGGGGACAAUGAGACAUCCCUCCCCCAAGCUGCUUUCUAAGGAUGGUGGGCCCAGGAGGGUUCAGAGCCCUUACUGCAUGGGGUGAAACUUGGGGUCAGAGCUGAGUUGCUGAGGACUAAGAAGAGGCUGAGCUGCGUCUCCUGUGGUGCCCUUCCCAGCCCUUCACACAGCUUGCUGCUUCUCCUUGAAAUCAAAGCUGAACCCAUAUUUUAAAGUGUUCUGUUUUUCCCAUCAAUGAUGCAUCUGCUUGUAAAUAUGUUAAGAAAAGCUGGGCAGACAAGCUAAGUGGUGAGAUGUUGGUGGGGACUCAGGUGCACACAACCCUGAGGGCAGCCCAGAGCUGUGUCCUUAUGGGCUAGGGCUUCAUCGUAUUGGUCAGGCUGGUCUUAAAUUGCUGACCUCAGGUGAUCCGCCUGCCUCGGCCUCCCAAAGUGCUGGGAUUGCAGGCGUGAGCCACUGCGCCUAGCCCUAUCUUCCUUUUAGACUUG